AGGCUAUGACUGCUGGAUAGUAUGGGCCACUCGCUACGUCAGGGAGCGUGCCGUCCCGCUUGGAAACGGCUCCUAAACAAUCCCCUUGGAAGCAGUUUUAGAUGCUGACCCUGAGCCAAAUGCUGCCAUUUAACAAGCUGUUGUUUGCGAGCAGCCCUUUCAGAAGUGCUUGCCAAGGUCAGGGAAGAGCUUGCAAAUGAAUGCUGCGUUUCCUUUAACAUACGGAAAUGAUCUGAGAUCUGCUGCUCAAAGCAAACUUGUUCUGCACUGGAGAUCCUUACGCAAAACUGUCUGCCCAACUGAUGUGCAGCAGGACCAAAACUGGCUUCCACAUACCACCUUUCAGGGUCCAAACACAGGUAUUUUAGUCUACAGCAGGGGUCAUGGUGGGGUUUGAGUGGGAAGCCCAGGCAAUAUCUGUCAGAUUGUAUGGUUAUUGCUCACACCAAUUCCUUGCUCUGUUCCUUUAUCACUUAAAUUCUUCUUCUCUUGCUCUUCUUCUU
rnacentral:lncRNA from 1 species